rnacentral:tRNA from 1 species
GACCCCGUAGCUCAAAAGGAUAGAGCCUCGGUUUCCUAAACCGACUAUUCCGGUUCGAUUCCGGACGGGGUCUCCA